UCAUGGAGUUGUGAGGACUGCCUGAGAUAAAGGGCUUAGGAGAAAAACAGGAUGGAACCUAACACCCUCUGGCAAAAUGAAAGAAAAAGUUGCUGAUCAACAAACCCUCACAUGGCAUUUAGAGAGGAUGGAGUUUCGCUCUUGCUGCACAGGAUGGAGUGCAAUUGCAUGAUCUCAGCUCACCACAACCUCCACCUCCCAGGUUCAGGUGAUUCCCCUGCCUGAACCUCCUGAGUAGCUGGGAUUACAGGCGUGAGCCACCGCAUCUGGCCUCUAUAUUUUAUUCUUAAAUUUAGUGAUUCACUGCUCAUUAUGUUAAUCGUUUUUUUUGUUUUUUUUGUCACCCAGGCUGGAGUGCAGAGGUACAAUCACGGUUCACUGUAGCCUUGACUUCCUGGGCUCAAUCCAUCCUCCCACCUCAGCCUCCCAAGUAGCUGGGAUUACAGGCGUGCCUCCAUAUCCAGCUAAUUUCUGUAUUUUUUGUAGAGACAGAGUUUUACUAUAUUUCCCAGGUUGGUCUCAAACUUCUGGGCUCAAGCAAUCCACUCACCUCAGACUCCUGAAGUUCUGGAAUUACCAGCAUGCACCACUGUAACCAACCUCUACACAUUUUUGUCUAAAAUAUUUCAUAAUAAAGAAUUUGGAUGAAUGUAUAGACAAUGAUAUGUAAUAAAUUUUAAUAUGUUAUAUAUUAAACAUGUUUAUAUUUUUACAUAUAACAUAUAUAAUUUGCCUUAUAUCUUCUGUUCCUAGUUACUGAUUCUACUCAUUAUAUUACCAUUAUCAUCAUCAUCACAUUAU